rnacentral:rRNA from 1 species
GAUGAACGCUGGCGGCGUGCCUAAUACAUGCAAGUCGAGCGAACGGACGAGAAGCUUGCUUUUCUGAUGUUAGCGGCGGACGGGUGAGUAACACGUGGAUAACCUACCUAUAAGACUGGGAUAACUUCGGGAAACCGGAGCUAAUACCGGAUAAUAUUUUGAACCGCAUGGUUCAAAAGUGAAAGACGGUCUUGCUGUCACUUAUAGAUGCAUCCGCGCUGCAUUAGCUAGUUGGUAAGGUAACGGCUUACCAAGGCAACGAUGCAUAGCCGACCUGAGAGGGGGAUCGGCCACACUGGAACUGAGACACGGUCCAGACUCCUACGGGAGGCAGCAGUAGGGAAUCUUCCGCAAUGGGCGAAAGCCUGACGGAGCAACGCCGCGUGAGUGAUGAAGGUCUUCGGAUCGUAAAACUCUGUUAUUAGGGAAGAACAUAUGUGUAAGUAACUGUGCACAUCUUGACGGUACCUAAUCAGAAAGCCACGGCUAACUACGUG